rnacentral:rRNA from 1 species
GAUGUCGAUUUGGAGGUUGUGCCCUUGAGGCGUGGCUUCCGGAGCUAACGCGUUAAAUCGACCGCCUGGGGAGUACGGCCGCAAGGUUAAAACUCAAAUGAAUUGACGGGGGCCCGCACAAGCGGUGGAGCAUGUGGUUUAAUUCGAUGCAACGCGAAGAACCUUACCUACUCUUGACAUCCAGAGAACUUUCCAGAGAUGGAUUGGUGCCUUCGGGAACUCUGAGACAGGUGCUGCAUGGCUGUCGUCAGCUCGUGUUGUGAAAUGUUGGGUUAAGUCCCGCAACGAGCGCAACCCUUAUCCUUUGUUGCCAGCGGUUCGGCCGGGAACUCAAAGGAGACUGCCAGUGAUAAACUGGAGGAAGGUGGGGAUGACGUCAAGUCAUCAUGGCCCUUACGAGUAGGGCUACACACGUGCUACAAUGGCGUAUACAAAGAGAAGCGACCUCGCGAGAGCAAGCGGACCUCAUAAAGUACGUCGUAGUCCGGAUUGGAGUCUGCAACUCGACUCCAUGAAGUCGGAAUCGCUAGUAAUCGUAGAUCAGAAUGCUACGGUGAAUACGUUCCCGGGCCUUGUACACACCGCCCGUCACACCAUGGGAGUGGGUUGCAAAAGAAGUAGGUAGCUUAACCUUCGGGAGGGCGCUUACCACUUUGUGAUUCAUGACUGGGGUGAAG